GGUCCAGUGGACAGAGCAGCGCCAGACUGAUGCUUCAAGCAGAGGGCUGGUGGCCGUUUUGUCGGUUUGCAGAUAGGAGAUGUCGACCGCCUGGUGGUGUACAUUAGACGGAAGCUGUCAGAGCGUGAGACCAGCUACAGCACUGUCGAGGAGGAGUGCUUGGCAAUCCGCAGCCUGUCGGGAUGAGUGUGUGGCUGUAGGAGUUCGGAGCUGGCAGCAGCAAAGACAACAGCUAGAGCUGGUGGGCAAAGCCUUGCACGAACAGGAACAGUACA